rnacentral:tRNA from 1 species
GCCGGUGUGGUGGAAUUGGUAGACACCCGAGACUUAAAAUCUCGUGGGCUUAGGCCCGUACCGGUUCAAGUCCGGUCACCGGCACAA